rnacentral:tRNA from 1 species
GCCCUCGUUGUCUAAUGGUUAUGACGUCAGACUUCUACAAUCACGUGAUCUGGAAUCUGGAGGUUGUGAGUUCGAUCCUCACCGGGGGCU